AUCUUACUUUAAGUCUAUUUGAUUGUCAGUAUAACAUGUAUGCACCUCAAAUAUUUUUGUAUUUUAUUUAUUUAUAUAAUAUGAUGAAAAUUAUUUAAAUGAAGUAAAACGUUAUAGGUCUACAGUGGUUGUUAAGACUUAGCUAUUGAAUCAGCCUACUAUUGGUAUUUUAUGCUUCACAAAUCCACUAAUACACUUAACUUGCUAUUAUUUCUUAAAGGCAUUUUUAAAACGCUUUAUUACAAAAAUACCGGAAUCAGUUUUGUGGAGAUUUUGAUUACUGGCAAUGUACACAAUUUGGCUUUACCUUGUUUUUUUAUGCGCUGAAAAAAGUUAUAGCAUCACCAUUGUCAUUAAGUGUUGUAUGUGUGUGUGUAUCAAUUCAUUAAUGCAAUAUGUUAAAAUUUCAGGAUACACUGAUAUUUAAUUCAAACGACAAAAAAUGUAUACGCAACAAUAUCAUUACAUUAUUUUUUACCCUUUUUAAAUUUUUUUAGAGUGCUUCCAAAUCAACAUUCUUUUUCUUGAUUUUUCUUGAAGUUAUCAUUUAAAAUUCACAAAAAAAUGUAUUUAAGGAUUUGAAAGUUUAACAAAAACUACAUAGAUUGUCUUGUUAUCGCUUUGGUGCAAUAUCUUAGUAUCAUAACAACAAAUAUGGCGGCGCAGUUUACAGCGUAUGAUACUAGUUGAUUCAUUUCAAUUUUUGAUAUAUUCCAUUUUUUUCUGGUUUAUACUUAAUUAUGAGAGAUCACGAAAAGAAAUUUCAUUCAAAUCUCUAAACACUUAAGUUACCAACAUUACCCAUCUGGUUCAUUAACUCAGUUACUCAGUCCCAGUUGCUCUAGAAGCAGAUGGGAGAUUCAGGCCCAUUGGACCUCUUGUAUGGGAUUUCUACCUGCGAGGGUUUGAAGUUUCCCUUUUUGUUCGUGAGCUGGUUGGCUCCUGUUGUCAUAUUUUUGUUGUGAGGUUUCCCUUGCAUCUUGACAGUUAAUUUACGUAUUUUAUAGUAAUUGUUUGGCAUGCAAUCCUCGAAACUUUGUCUCAAUUGUUAUAUUAUACCAUUGUUCUUUCUUUGCCCUUUAACAUAUUUCUUGUAUGACAAUGAUUCAUUUUCUCUCUCUCUCUUUUUUAUAAAAGCAUUUUGUAUUGAUGUUUUACAUUAUCCAUAUAGACUGGUUGCUAUCCCCGUACACUGUAUCUAUUCAGCUCCCAACUUGAUGCUAUUGAAAGAUUUUAAUUCUGUUCCACAGGGUAACUUCUUAACUGUGUCUUUAUUUUCUGUGAAAUUGUAAUGGUAUUUUUUAAGUUUACUCUCUUAAUGUUGAGAUUUGCUAAUAUCGUCACCACUCAUGCAGUCCUGAUGAUCGAGGCCCCAUCUGUAAUGUGUCUAGAUUAUCGAUAUCCCACAGUAUUGCGUCCGGAAUACAGAGAGGUCCCGCUGUAAAAUGACCGGCUUAUAGAGGUCCCGCUGUAAAUUACCGGCUUAAAGAGUUACCGUUGUAAGGUGAGCAGCUUAGAGGUCCCGCUGUAAAGUGACCGGGUUAUAGAGGUCCCGCUGUAAAGUGACCGGGUUAUAGAGGUCCCGCUGUAAAGUGACCAGAUUAAAAAGGUCCCCCUGUAAAGUGACCGACCGGCUUAUAAUUGUCCCGCUGUAAGGUGACCGGCUUAUAGAGGUCCCACUGUAAGGUGACCGGGUUAUAGAGGUCCCACUGUAUGGUGACCGGGUUAUAGAGGUCCCACUGUAUGGUGACCGGCUUAUAGAGGUCCCGUUGAAAAGUGACUGGCUUAUAGAGGUCUCGUUGUGAAAUGACCUGCUUAUAGGGGUCCCGUUGAAAAGUGACCGGCUUACAGAAGACUCGCUGUAAAGAGACCAGUUUAGACAGGUUCUGCUGAAAUAUGUUCGGCUAACAGAGGUUUCGGCUUAUAGAGGUCCCACUGUAAAGUCAUCGGCUUAUAGAGGUUUCACUGUAAAGUGACCGGUUUCUGACGAUGGCUGUAUGGUGGUCGGAUUUCCGUGCGAUGACUGGAUUCUUUAGAUUGUAUUGUUAUAUGAAUUAUUGUUAAUUUUUUCUCACUGUGUUCUUCUGUCUAUCUGUGAUACGUCCUUUCGGAUGACAAAUACUCAUUUUAUAUUAAAUUAUUAUGGUUUUGCUUUAUUAUUAUAGCCGAUUGCUCAUUGAUCAGGAAGAAAAUAAAUCUAUAGUUACAUGUAUAUAAUAUAGACAUUCUUUUGCAGAGAAAUAUUGUUUUGAGAAAUAAGAUGUAAAGUUUUUGACAUAAGGAUAUACGGCACCUUGAUAUUUAUGUUCCGUCAUUAAGAAACAAAACGAGAGCAUAAAUGGAGAUAAUAAUCUUAUAAAACGCAUUUUCCUUUCGAAUAAAAGCAAAUUCCUGGUGAGCAAAAUUCAAUGAUCUACAUUUUUAUCCAAAAUCGGUAAAUGCAAGUGUUUUAAUUAUGUUAACUUGUUAUUAUAACUUAUAUAAAAAUACAUCAUUUAUUGUU